rnacentral:rRNA from 1 species
AGUGAACGCUGGCGGUAUGCCUAACACAUGCAAGUCGAACGGCAGCACAGUAAGAGCUUGCGCUUACUGGUGGCGAGUGGCGUACGACUGCGGAAUACAUCGGAACCUACUGUUUCGUGGGGCGUAACGUUGGGAAACUUCCGCUAAUACCUCAUGCUGACUGCGGGUGAAAGCAAGGCAUCUUCGGACUUUGCGCGAUUGUAGGAGCCGAUGUCGGAUUAGCUAGUUGGGGGGGUAAAGGCCCACCAAGGCGACGAUCCGUAGCUGGUCUGAGAGGAUGAUCAGCCACACUGGAACUGAGACACGGUCCAGACUCCUACGGGAGGCAGCAGUGGGGAAUAUUGGACAAUGGGCGAAAGCCUGAUCCAGCAAUACCGCGUGGGUGAAGAAGGCCUUCGGGUUGUAAAGCCCUUUUGUUGGGAAAGAAAAGCAGCAGGUUAAUACCCCGCUGUUCUGACGGUACCCAAAGAAUAAGCACCGGCUAACUUCGUG